UUUGCAUGCUCUUCCACAGGUGUUUGAGAACGGACCUCUUCUGCAGACGCUUCACGACAGGUUUUCCCCAUUAGUCAAGUAGACACCGCGCCCGUCAGGCUGGUGUCAUUCCCAGCUCUAUCUACCCAUAAUCACUGGCUCUGUACCAUGCUCAGUUACUGCUGCCACUCCCCUCUAGAGACUGGGGAGGUUCUUGGGCACUCUCCAGGCCCGCUGCCCCAGCCUGGUAUAGGCCUUCCCUCUGGGUGGGACCCUUUCCUUCAAGGAUGCCCUAAAGAGUCUGGUGAGCUUUGUGGGCUUUCGGGCAUCAUCCUUGGCGCCCAUUAGCCCUCUCCAGGCCCGUUUCGCCAGUCUAGCAGGAUGCCUGCCUUCUUCAGAGGAAACAAAAACACCUGGCCACAAAACGUUUUGUUCUGUUACAGGCGAUUCUGGAAGAGGGGAAUUGAUCUGGUAGAGGGGAAUUGUUCUGGAGAAGAGUGGGAUUAGGUUGGAGAAAUGGUGUACUGACCUACAGCAAGGUCGUUGUCGUGAAAUAACUUACGAUGUACAAAAUGACAUCAUCAUUUAGUCGAAUAGAUUGCAGAUAAGACCAUUGCAUACUGGAAGUAUCAUCAGAGACUGAGAAAUAUAAAGCAAAGUUUAUUAUUCCUCUUGAAAACUAGGACAGUUGCGUCAGUUCAGGAAGGAAGAGGAGAGUGAAUUCUUUAUUUCAUCAGCCUAUACAAACAGAGUAUUCGGAACUACGCGCCUCAAACACAAUGGGUGCUGGAAACGUCAUUGUCGCCGACUCGCCACUCACGAAGAGGAGACACUAGCCUGGCCGGGUUCCUUUUAUGUUGUCAAGAUUGUAUUAAGUUUUCCUUUCUAACUGUUAUCUAUGUAGCCUAAGUACAAUGGAAAAAAAAUUUUCAUGACAAGUAUACUCUGUCAAAUUACCCAGCUGUAGCAAAUAAGUAAAAAGUGUGCCGUAGUUUCUUCGGAGCAAUCGAGUUUUCUUUAUAUCGUAUAAUGCUGUAUGAAACUCUCAGCCACGGCCCAUUGAAACUCUCAGUCGUGGCCCAUGAAACUUCCAGUCACGGCACGGUGGUGGCCCUGUGUUGGUGGCACUCAAAGCGGUGCCAGCCAAACGAUCAUGGCUAACUUUAACCUUAAAUCAAAUAAAAACUACUGAUGUUAGAGGGUUGCAAUUUGGCAUGUUUGAUGACUGGAGGGCGGAUGAUCAAAAUACCAACUUGCCCCCCUCUAGCCUUGGUAGUUUUUAAGGUCUGAGGGCAGAUCGAAAAAGUGCCGACUGACAGACAAAGCCGUCUCAAUAGCUUUCUUUUACAGAGGAUUAAAAGCAACAAUAGGUAUUUUCCAAAUACGUCUCAUCAGUAGUUGAAGGACAUGAAAACGUGAUUCAGGCAGAGUGAUGUCACAGGGGAUUAAUUUUAGACGGAAAUAACACUUCCAAUCAUCGUCAAAGAGAAAAAUGGCGGAUACCUCGGAAACGCUAUAUUUAAACAGUAAGUCCCAGCCAGAUGUAUUCGUUUCUUGUUUCGGCCUCGCGUAUUUAGACCAGGUAAGUUGAAGGCCGUGUUGAUUUUCCACGAUAUUUAUCAUACAAUAGUUGAUUUGCCCCCGAAUGCAAUUCUGUUUCAUCUGAACACUUCAGCAUUGCCUGGCGUAUUUUCAUGUGAUGAACUCGAACAAAGAGCAAAGCAUCACCAUGACCUUGAUGCAGUAAAACUGACAACAGUAAUGAAAGGCUUUGUCCUUUGUUUCAAGGUUCUUUGUUAGUGCUCGUUGGCCUCUGCACGCCGAAAGGGAAUGACAUUAAAAAGUUGCAGAGGGCGUUAUUCAUCGCCUGUGAUAUUUCUGUUUGUAUGUUAUUCCCAAUCGUCAUUGUUUCUCAUUCUAUAUCCAGCUGUUGUGAGAUAAAAGCAACGUUUCAGAAUCGCGUAGUAAAGGGUUAUUCCUAUUUUAUUUUGAACUUUGAAAAAGCAGUGAGAUGUGUCUCUCUCUCAUGAAAUCAUCGUGUGCAUUGAUAUGUCAUUUUUUUUUUACAUUAUUUUUCGUUAAGACAAACAUUUUCUUGUUAACUGAAACUUUUAUUCUUCUUCUUGGCAAUGUCAUCAUGGCCGUGUGCUGGAAAGCUGCAUAGGGUAAAACAUCUUGCUAGAGUUGUAUUGUAAAUAUCCUCUGCUACGCAUGUAUGCAUCUGCUUGCUUUCCAAGAAUUGAAAUUUACUUUUUGCCUCCGUAAUUACGUAAUUAAGAUAAUUUUUCUCGCAGUUUCAUCCUGCUUGAAUUUGGAAUUAAGAGAAUGGAAGUCUUUUACUGUGAAAAAAAAAAAAUGUUUACCAGAAAAAUUAUU